rnacentral:rRNA from 1 species
UAUAAUGUGGGUAUCUGCCCUUUGGUUUGGAAUAACACGAGGAAACUUGUGCUAAUACCGGAUAAGCCUUCACAGGGAAAGCUUUAGCGCCAAAGGAUGAGCUCGCACUUGAUUAGCUAGUUGGUAGGGUAAUGGCCUACCAAGGCAACGAUCAAUAGCUGUUCUUAGAGGAAGACCAGCCACAUUGGGACUGAGACACGGCCCAAACUCCUACGGGAGGCAGCAGUGGGGAAUCUUGCACAAUGGGGGAAACCCUGAUGCAGCGAUGCCGCGUGAGUGAAGAAGGCCUUUGGGUUGUAAAGCUCUUUCGUCGGGGAAGAAAAUGACUGUACCCGAAUAAGAAGGUCCGGCUAACUUCGUGCCAGCAGCCGCGGUAAUACGAAGGGACCUAGCGUAGUUCGGAAUUACUGGGCUUAAAGAGCUCGUAGGUGGUUAAGAAAGUUGGUGGUGAAAUC